UAGUCUGCAGUCACCUGUAGGAGAAAGGAGGUGUGUUUGGGGCUACAGUGCUAGGUAACCUGCAAUUAUUACUCCCUGGAAGAAGGGAAUUUAGGCUGGUAAACCCAGAAGGCUGGGGGAACCAUAAGGUAGAGCUGAGAUGUAGGAAGGUGUCCAGGGGAAGAGCAACACAGUCUAGCAGUGAGCAGGUCACUGUCCCUAGAGAUAGGAUCCAUGGACUAGAACCUGGAGUAAAUGGUUGGGCUGGCUUCCCCCAUGCCCCACCAACCACUGAAGAAGUAACACAGUCAUGGCAGUGAAGGGAAGUCUGCCAUUUUGUAUAGAGAGACUUGCCAAACCUAGAGGGCUGAGUGUGAAGGACCACCCUGAGUCUCAGAGAAAAAGAAACAGGGAGAGGAACUGACAGAAAGGGGUGUUGGAGCUGCAAAGACCUAAUCCCCAGAGCAACCAGGAAGAGGUACCCUAGCUAAUGUCUCAGUCAAGGGCAAAGCAUCAAACACCUCUCCAGGAUGCAAAAUAACAGUUAGGUCCCACAGGAUGCUCAUUUUUUUGCUAUCUUGAAAAUAAAGUGCAAACCCAACAGUUACCGACAGCUGCAGAUGAAUCCAGAUCAUAUAACUUGGAGGCUUAAAGGGAAAGAUACCAUAAUUCUCCUUGGGCGGAAAACCAGAAAAACUCCAUCUCUGAUGUGUGACCUGCUCCUACAGGCUUCUGAGGAUUACAGAGAGACUGCUAGUAUCCCCCUGUCUUUAAUUUCAUUGGGCAGAGGCAGACCUUGAAAAUAUCAUUUCUAAAUUGUGCUGAUUGUGCAAUAUCCCAGCACGCUUCUUGCAAACAAAGAAAGCGACAGGCCUGCAACUGAUUAACCACCAUGACUUGAGAGCAUCACUUGUGUCCGCCUCAGUCUGUUUAAUGCCCAGACAGGAAAAUGACCAACAAUUUAGUUGAUUCAAUCAGUGUACUAACCUUGACCGUUCCAGAAGGGAAAAUAUGACAACAAAUCAGCCCCUGUGCUUCCCCCACCUUAACUAUAAACCCCCUAGAGUCCCACUAAAUGCUGCUUAGUCUCUUCCCGGAGAGAUGCAGCAAAUUUGGCUGUAUGGGGAAUUUGCUGCUGCUCUUUUCUCUCUGACUGCGCCUGGGAAGCAUCCCCAGUGCAAUCUUACAUAUUCCCAAUGUACAGUAGGGCCAGGACUCACUAGAAAGC